AGUGAACGCUGGCGGUAGGCCUAACACAUGCAAGUCGAGCGAGUGGCGGACGGGUGAGGAGUAAAUGGGAAUCUACUCUGUAGAGGGGGAUAACGUCGGGAAACUUACGCUAAUACCGCAUACGAUUGAAUGAGACGAUGUGGGAUUAGCGAGGUGGCGGGGUAAAGGCGCACAAAGGAGACGCUCCGUAGCUGGUCUGAGAGGAUGAUCAGCCACACUGGAACUGAUACACGGUCCAGACUCCUACGGGAGGCAGCAUUGGGGAAGAUUGGACAAUGGGCGCAAGCCUGAUCCAGCCAUGCCGCGUGUGUGAAGAAGGCCUUCGGGUUGUAAAGUCCUUUUGGUGGGAAAGCGGUACCCAAAGAAGAAGCACCGGCUAACUCCGUGCCAGCAGCCGCGGUAAUAC
rnacentral:rRNA from 1 species